rnacentral:tRNA from 1 species
GCCUAGCUGGCUCAGUCAGUGGGGCAUGCGGCUCUGGAUCUUGGGGUCAUGAGUUCAAGUCCCAUGUUGGGUA